rnacentral:rRNA from 1 species
UACGUAGGUGGCAAACGUUGUCCGGAUUUACUGGGCGUAAAGAGCGCGCAGGCGGUCGUUCAAGUCGCGUGUGAAAGCCCCCGGCUCAACUGGGGAGGGUCACGCGAUACUGAUCGACUCGAAGGCAGGAGAGGGAAGUGGAAUUCCCGGUGUAGUGGUGAAAUGCGUAGAUAUCGGGAGGAACACCAGUGGCGAAGGCGACUUCCUGGCCUGUUCUUGACGCUGAGGCGCGAAAGCUAGGGGAGCAAACGGG